AUGGCAGGCACAGGUCUGCCGGACCAGCAGCUGCGGCUGAUGACGACGGUAGAGGAGACCUUGGGGUCGGCCCUGGCAUCACUUCACCAGGGAGAAAGCAGAGGUGGUGAGGAGCACGGGAAUGGCCGGAUCCAGCCACUGAAGACCAUCGGGGUCCCGUUCCUGUCCGGAUCGAGGAAAAGCAAAGGAGGCCCAACGAGGAAGGGGCUCGCUGACUUGGAGGCUCUGGUGGCAGGCGGCCACUCCGGAGUGGGGAAGGCGGUGGCGCUGUGA
rnacentral:rRNA from 1 species